rnacentral:rRNA from 1 species
UACGUAUGGUGCAAGCGUUAUCCGGAUUUACUGGGUGUAAAGGGAGCGCAGGCGGUGCGGCAAGUCUGAUGUGAAAGCCCGGGGCUCAACCCCGGUACUGCAUUGGAAACUGUCGUACUAGAGUGUCGGAGGGGUAAGUGGAAUUCCUAGUGUAGCGGUGAAAUGCGUAGAUAUUAGGAGGAACACCAGUGGCGAAGGCGGCUUACUGGACGAUAACUGACGCUGAGGCUCGAAAGCGUGGGUAGCAAACAGG